rnacentral:rRNA from 1 species
GAUCCUGGCUCAGAAUCAACGCUGGCGGCGCGCCCAACACAUGCAAGUCGAACGAGAAAGGGGAGCAAUCCCUGAGUACAGUGGCGUACGGGUGAGUAACACGUGGGUAAUCUACCUCUUUGUGGGGAAUAACCCUGGGAAACCGGGGCUAAUACCGCAUAAGCCCGAGAGGGGAAAGCAGCAAUGCGCUGAGAGAGGAGCCCGCGGCCGAUUAGCUAGUUGGGGGGGUAACGGCCCACCAAGGCAAAGAUCGGUAGCCGGCCUGAGAGGGCACACGGCCACACUGGCACUGAAACACGGGCCAGACUCCUACGGGAGGCAGCAGUGGGGAAUCUUGCACAAUGGGAGAAACCCUGAUGCAGCGACGCCGCGUGAGCGAUGAAGCCCUUCGGGGUGUAAAGCUCUUUCGGCAGGGAAGAUUAUGACGGUACCUGCAGAAGCAGCUGCGGCUAACUACGUGCCAGCAGCCGCGGUAAUACGUAGGCAGCAAGCGUUGUUCGGAGUUACUGGGCGUAAAGGGUGUGUAGGCGGUCCCUUAAGUUUGUUGUGAAAUCUCCCGGCUCAACUGGGAGGGUGCGGCGAAUACUGAGAGGCUAGAGUGCGGGAGAGGAAAGUGGAAUUCCUGGUGUAGCGGUGAAAUGCGUAGAUAUCAGGAGGAACACCGGUGGUGUAAACGGCUUUCUGGACCGU